rnacentral:lncRNA from 1 species
UCAUUGUAAAAGCUCUCACAGGCACAGCUUUAACAGUUCAGACCUGUAUUAAUUCUUGGUUUACAGGUCGUAGGUCAUCCCCUUCCUCUAGGGAACCAUGUCUAAUGAAUGGGGGACCUGGGGCAGCGAUGGAGGGCAAAGGUGGGGUGCAGGUUUUACAGUCCAAGGAGAGGUAGAUUUCACAAAGGAUCUUCAAAGAAGAGAAGAGUGGUCGGACAUCUCUGAAGACGAUAGUCCUGUUAUUUAUGCAGACAUCUCACGUUCAGAGGAAUAUCAUUACCAUGUCGUCCAGCCAAAGAGGACAGAGUUGGACAGCACGUCUUUGACCCACGAAACAUCUGUUGCUAUAGAUGCAAGUGAAGGAGUUCCCAACAAGGAUGAAACACCAACAGCAUCAAGCCUCCCAUCUCAAGAAGGGGUUGUUUGGAGGCAGCUGCAACAAGGUGACUCCCCUGAAGUUGCUUCAGAGAGCACUGAGUACCCAGUUGCAUCAUAUCCAUCAGUGUUCUGCCAGAUGAAGGAAGAAAAGACUGAGGGUUGUUCUUUGGAUGAUGGAGGAACUUUAGAGGAAGAGGAACAGAAGAAAAGCAGAGACGUGUCCGUUAUUCAACAAACAGUCGCUGCAAAAAAACACAAGGGGGACCUAUCCAAGAACGGCUAUCGCCAAGGCUUUGAACUUGAGGUAGGUCAUUAACAAAGGCAUGUUGCAGUAUGCGAGUGGACUCUCUUUUAUGAAUGAGUUAUUACAGUGUUAUGCGGUGUUGUAGCCUGAAAAUAGAUAUUUACAUUCCAUUUACAUGUAUUAAUUUUUUUAUCCAGUUUUUUUAUCCGUUUUUUAUCCAUUUUUUUAUCCAGUUUUUAUCCAAAGCGACAUACAAGCAAGACAUGAAAGAAAUUACAUGGUUGCUAACUGUGUGCUUCUGUUCUGUAGAGGGAGGAAUCAGCAACAAGCAACUUGGCCAAUGGACCAUCAGCAAACCUAGAAACACUGGAAACAACUCAGAAGGGUCUUUUGUCACUGGAUGAACCUCAUGCACCAGACCCAUGCUCUUCAG